rnacentral:rRNA from 1 species
UACGUAGGGGGCAAGCGUUGUCCGGAAUCAUUGGGCGUAAAGCGCGCGUAGGCGGCCCGGUAAGUCCGUUGUGAAAGUCAAAGGCUCAACCUUUGAAUGCCGAUGGAUACUGCCGGGCUAGAGUCCGGAAGAGGCGAGUGGAAUUCCUGGUGUAGCGGUGAAAUGCGCAGAUAUCAGGAGGAACACCGAUGGCGAAGGCAGCUCGCUGGGACGGUACUGACGCUGAGGCGCGAAAGCGUGGGAAGCAAACAGG